AAAAUACCAAAAAUCAAAGUAGGCAUCCCAGAUAACUUUUGCUGUACAUCUCAAACUAAGGGUCUAAUCAUCCAUUAAACCAAAAAUGAGUCUUUUUCUUUACUGGAAAUGUAAAUUUGCCCUUGGUCUUUCCCAUGUCAUUGCAAGGCCCUCAAGUCAUAUAACUCUCAAUAGUCAAAUCAACAAAUCUUUUGCUGUAAAACAUGCAAUCAGAUGAGGCAAAUCAACCCACUUUAAAAUUCCUAUGGCCUCAAUAUUGCAACUCAAAAUUCAAGUUAAAACACGAAACGUCCUUGAGAAGCUACAAAGCCAUAAGAAUAGAGCACCUGAUGAGCAAGCACUUUAUUGAAGACAAGAAUACAGGAGAAUGUCAUCUGAAAUUAUGAGCAAAAACACAUGCUUUGAUGGGUUCUACUCUCAAGCAUUGGCAAGGAGUAAAGAGAGAAAAUAUCACAACCCAAAAUCAUCCUCAAAUCAUUGAAAACCGAAGAAAAACUAUUUCCAAUAACUACUUGAAUUAGAAAAUUGGACGAUUUUAGCAAGGACAUCUUUUAAACAAGAACAACCUGAAGUC